rnacentral:tRNA from 1 species
UUUCAUUGAUACAAAAAUGUACCCAGCAAUUCAAAUAUUUUAUAGAAUUAUUGAUAAAAGGAUUCAAUUUGUCCUGUCCCUAAA